rnacentral:piRNA from 1 species
UUCGAUUGUUUGUAUAAUUCC